GAUGAACGCUGGCGGCGUGCUUAACACAUGCAAGUCGAACGGGAAUGUUUCGCUGAUGCGAUUUCGGUCAAAUCUUGAAGCAUUUUAGUGGCGGACGGGUGAGUAACGCGUGGGUAACCUGCCCUGUACAGGGGGACAACAGUUGGAAACGACUGCUAAUACCGCAUAAGCGCACAGCUUCGCAUGAAGCAGUGUGAAAAACUCCGGUGGUACAGGAUGGACCCGCGUCUGAUUAGAUAGUUGGUGAGGUAACGGCCCACCAAGUCAACGAUCAGUAGCCGGCCUGAGAGGGCGAACGGCCACAUUGGGACUGAGACACGGGCCCAAACUCCUACGGGAGGCAGCAGUGGGGAAUAUUGCACAAUGGGGGAAACCCUGAUGCAGCGACGCCGCGUGAGUGAAGAAGUAUUUCGGUAUGUAAAGCUCUAUCAGCAGGGAAGAAAGACAUGACGGUACUUGACUAAGAAGCCCCGGCUAACUACGUGCCAGCAGCCG
rnacentral:rRNA from 1 species